rnacentral:rRNA from 1 species
GACGUAGGGGACGAGCGUUGUCCGGAUUCAUUGGGCGUAAAGCGCGCGUAGGCGGCUUUGUAAGUUAGAGGUGAAAGCCCGGAGCUCAACUCCGGAAUUGCCUUUAAGACUGCAUCGCUAGAAUCAUGGAGAGGUGAGUGGAAUUCCGAGUGUAGAGGUGAAAUUCGUAGAUAUUCGGAAGAACACCAGUGGCGAAGGCGACUCACUGGACAUGUAUUGACGCUGAGGUGCGAAAGCGUGGGGAGCAAACAGG